UACUGUAAAAACCAAGUAGUGUGUCAUCCAAUUUUUAACACUUUACAGUUCGGGCUACACACUGUGCUAAAGCUAAACUUCAAAAUAUGUAAUUUGCAUUAUGUAUGGUUCUUAAUCAGCUUGUGGGUUUCGCAUUAUAUUUUUUUUAUUACAUGCAUAUACAUUUUCUUUGUUGCAGGUGUUUGACUGCCGUUUACAUUGUUGUUCCCAAGCUCCAACCUAUCAUAAUGAAAACCAAAUUGGCCAAUUUGUUACAGAAGUGGACCGUAAGCCCUGUGGAGAUGAAUGUUAUCUUUAGCCAUGCGAAUCUACAGGAAAUUCAAUCCAAGCUUCACAUAAAUGGAGCAAUUGGAACCCUUUGGAGAAAUACUUACACCUCAAGGGAUUACAAAUAUUUGGAAGAAAUAGUUGUUAUAUAGCUCGGAAUUUGCUCCAUGGUCUGAAAACUUGCGAAGAAGUAUCUAAAUGAAGCUGGGAGGGAUGGCAUGGAUCCUAUGGAGCCAGAUAUGGCAGCCAAAUCAAGAAUAAGUCGUAAGAGGGGAAGAGUGCGCACCGUCAGUCCUUGUGGAGAGGGAAAGGACAUCCCAUAUAAGCAAUAUUCUCCAUGCAUGUGCCAGCCAACGUGUGGGAAGCAGUGUCCUUGCCUUCAGAAUGGAACUUGUUGUGAGAAAUACUGCGGGUGCUCAAAAAGCUACAAAAAUCGCUUCAGAGGGUGCCAUUGUGCUAAAGGUCAAUGUAAAAGCCAACAAUGCCCCUGCUUUGCAACUAAACGUGAAUGUGAUCUAGAUGUUUGCUGGAGUUGUUGGGUUAGGUAUUCAGUUUUAGUGUCUAUUUAUCACUUCAAUUGGCUUCACCUCUAUUUACCAGUCCAUCAUGGCUUGCAUUUCCCCUAGUAUCUCGUUUUGCUUUA